UUAAAAUUAAAUUGGUUUGGCUGCACAAUCUAACACACCUGCCAAUACUUACAGUAAUGGCACCGUACACCAUCAUAGCGCUGAUGGUGAGCAUCAACAGGGAG